UACGGAAGGCAGCAGUGGGGAAUAUUGCACAAUGGGCGCAAGCCUGAUGCAGCCAUGCCGCGUGUAUGAAGAAGGCCUUCGGGUUGUAAAGUACUUUCAGCGGGGAGGAAGGCGAUGCGGUUAAUAACCGCGUCGAUUGACGUUACCCGCAGAAGAAGCACCGGCUAACUCCGUGCCAGCAGCCGCGGUAAUACGGAGGGUGCAAGCGUUAAUCGGAAUUACUGGGCGUAAAAGCGCACGCAGGCGGUCUGUUAAGUCAGAUGUGAAAUCCCCGGGCUUAACCUGGGAACUGCAUUUUGAAACUGGCAGGCUUGAGUCUUGUAGAGGGGGUAGAAUUCCAGGUGUAGCGGUGAAAUGCGUAGAGAUCUGGAGGAAUACCGGUGGCGAAGGCGGCCCCGUGGACAAAGACUGACGCUCAGGUGCGAAAGCGUGGGGAGCGAAACGAGGAUUAGAUACCCUCUGAGAACUAACCAAGGCAACAACAAGGGGAUAGG
rnacentral:rRNA from 1 species